rnacentral:tRNA from 1 species
UGGAUUGUAGUUCAGUGAUAGAGCACUUGCUUUGCAUGCAUGAGGCACUGGGUUCGAUCCUCAGCACCACAU